GGCGUUGCUUUCCGUUUUUGUGAUGCAGGCGUCUUCUCAGUGGUUUCAUCUUGUGUAGCUUGUGUUGCGUGUGAUGAAGAAGUCACCGGAGUAUUGACGGGCUCUAAGUUUUGCUCCAUCUCCGUCUGAAACAAGAAAUUAUCGAAUCAAAAUCCAACAAUCAAAAGAAUCCGAAGUAUGAGAGCAAAUAAUCUACCUUAAUUAGCUCAACAAGCUUGAUGUACGUGAGAUUGUGAAUCGUUGAAUCUGAAGUAGUUAUUGCAGAUAAGAUGUUAGCUAUUUGGGAUUUAGGGUUUUGUCAUUUGUGCGGCUAUCGGCUAGAAUAAAAGAGAUGACUAGAUGAGUAUGAUUUUAAGUUUUACCUAAUAGAACUUUGGGCUUCUGCCUUCUGGGCUACCGCAUGCUGCUGGACUGCUAGACUAGGACUAAUAAUAGUU
rnacentral:lncRNA from 1 species